rnacentral:rRNA from 1 species
AUUGAACGCUGGCGGCAUGCCUUACACAUGCAAGUCGAACGGUAGCGGGCCUUCGGGUGCCGACGAGUGGCGAACGGGUGAGUAAUGUAUCGGAACGUACCUUUCAGUGGGGGAUAACUAGUCGAAAGAUUAGCUAAUACCGCAUACGACCUGAGGGUGUAAGUGGGGGACCGCAAGGCCUCAUGCUAUAGGAGCGGCCGAUGUCUGAUUAGCUAGUUGGUGGGGUAAAGGCCUACCAAGGCGACGAUCAGUAGCUGGUCUGAGAGGACGAUCAGCCACACUGGGACUGAGACACGGCCCAGACUCCUACGGGAGGCAGCAGUGGGGAAUUUUGGACAAUGGGCGAAAGCCUGAUCCAGCAAUGCCGCGUGUGUGAAGAAGGCCCUCGGGUUGUAAAGCACUUUUGUCCGGAAAGAAAUGGCUCUGGUUAAUACCUGGGGUCGAUGACGGUACCGGAAGAAUAAGGACCGGCUAACUACGUGCCAGCAGCCGCGGUAAGAC